CUCCCUUUCGGGCCGUGUCAAGCGGCGGCCACCAACGUGGAGGGCGGAAGCGGCCUCGCUGCGGGCGUCGCGUCGGGGCGGGCGCGCGCGGGCCUGCCGAGCCGCAGCCGUUAAGCGGCGCCGCUCGCGAUCCGCGGCCAGGGCCGGCGGGAGCCGGGAGGCAGCGCCGCCGGCGCCAUCGCCGGGGCUCACCUGUUGGCCGCCGCCCGCCGCCCCUUCGUCGCUGCGUGCCGCGCCGCGCCCGGCCGCUGCCGCCGCCAUGGCUGAGACCGAGGAGAGGAGCCUCGACGACUUCUUCGCCAAGCGGGACAAGAAGAAGCGGAAGGAGAAGAGCAGCCGGGGAGCCGCCGCCUCCAGCGCCGCCGCGGCCGCCGCCGCCUCCAGCGCCGCCGCCGCCUCCAGCGCGGCCGCCGCCGCCGGAGGGCCCCGCCCGGCCGACGGCAGCGGCUCCGGCGCCGCCUCCUCCACCGGCGGCUCCGCCAAGACCAAGGAAGAGGAUGAUUGGAAAGAGUUUGAGCAGAAGGAGGAAAUUGAUUAUAGUGGUCUUAGAGUUCAGUCCAUGCAAAUAAGUGAAAAAGAAGAUGAUGAAAGUGAAAAAAGAGAAGAACCAGGUGACAACUGGGAGGAAGCUGGAGGUGGUGUGGACAAAUCAUCUGGUCCUUGGAACAAGUCAGCUCCUGCACCAGCACCUGUUGUUGAAACAAUUGUUACGGAAGCCCCAGAACCAGUGCAAACCGGUGGUGUAUACAGGCCGCCUGGUGCCAGAGAGGGCAGGCCACGGAGAGCACAGCAAGGACCACCAGAAAUCUAUAGUGAUACGCAGUUUCCAUCACUGCAAUCCACUGCCAAGCUUGUAGACAGUAGAAACCUAACAUCUUAUUCGCUUUCUUGACUGAAACUACACAUUGAACAGAUGUCUUCAUCAAGCUGUCCAUGGUGAUGCCUAGAUCGUCCCCUUGAAAGAUCACAACUAAUUCAGAAUCCACCAGAGCAUAGUAUGUACAACUGUAACAAAAUGAUUCAAACCAUAAAAACAAGCUGAUACAAGAGAACAAAUGCAUUGAGAAACAGGUAAAAGGUGCAUGAAUCUGAUCUCCUACAGCCUAACUUCAUUGGUUUCAGUGGAGUUACUCUUUAUUUCUAUCACUUGAGAUCAGUUUCAUUAAAACUUAAUCUGAGAUCAUCUUGUUGGAAGAUGAGCUGUAACAAUCAUCAAAGUCAAGCACAAAAAAAAGUCCCAUAGCAAACUUGCUUUAAAUUUCUGGGUUAUUUUUCUCUUUGAAUCUGGCAGAGAUGAAGCAGAUGCAUUAUGCUGUCUCAAAAAAGCAAACAGGCUCAGGCACACUUAAUCUAGCAUAGCUGUAGUAAUACUAGACGUUAAAAUUAUAAUAUUUGGGAUGAAGGUAGGUGCAGCAACACUGGGGCCAAGCUUAGUCUUUUUUGUGGUUUGUUUCAUCUCUUUAUAUUCUCAUCUUAUACUUUAGAGAUGUUACAUCUGUGAAUAAGAUUAAGCCUUUAAGUGUUGAUUGCAUUUAUGAAUAAUGCUGUGUUUAUAGAUGCAAAGGUGUCAUAAAUAGUAGGCUGUACAUCCUAAAAGACUUGAGCCCUCCUUUAAGAGCUGCAUUGUCUCAAUAUUGGACUAUCACAUCAUGCAGACUAGCUGGAUUUGGUACUAACAAGGGUAUGUGGUUGAGAGGGUGUUAUACCUUGGAUUUUGCACUCAAAUUUUAUCUGUUAGCUGUUCCAUCUAUAGCACUUAAUUGUUUUCAAAUUGUUUUCAACAGAAUCCUAAUGUGGCUGCCAGGGAUUUUUAAAGUUUGCAAAUAUGAACAGAGUUUUUUUUUUCUCUUUUUCUUUUUUUUUUCCCCUUUCAAAAUUCAAUAAUUUCGGAAGUGGGGGUAGAAGGGAUACAAUGAGAAGCUUUACCAUUUAUUUGUCUGAAUGCAGGACUUACUUUCUACCCUUUCCCGUUUGUCUUAAAAGAUGCUCACUGAUGCCAAGUUUUGCUCCUGUCCAAAUCCUUGUCCCACUAUAUAUUUACUAACCACUCAAUACUUCACAGACUAUUUCUUUCUGACCGAGCACUGUGUCUCUGAUCUGGGAAUUAGGUAAAAGGCGCUUCAAGCCACUCUGACAGUGUUUCCUAGAUAAUUGGCUCCGCUUAUAUUUUCUGCAGCUCAAAGUACAGCAAAAAUCUAGUCACUAACUCGAGCUGUGCAGUUGAAGUAUUUGACUUUUCUUCACUCUCUAGUAUUGCUUUGUUCUUUUGUUCAGCUGCAUUAUUACCAUGCCAAGGAUCUCCAGUCAGGUACCUGGACCUGAUCCUGCCAAGCUCAGCAUCCCAUCCUUCCCCAGCAGGGCACAGUUCUCUGAGCAAGAACAGGCCACUGCUGUGUUUCUUCAGUCAGGGAUUUAGCUUCACACACAUGGCCUCAUUUCUGUUCCAAAAUGCCUGGCAAAUAAAUAUGAUUGAUAACCCUUUAUUUCUGAAGUACGGCAGUUUACUGUAUUUAAACCUAGAUCCUCAAAAGCUGCUUGAGUGUCUGAUUCCAACUGGCUUUGAGCACCUUGGGCUUAAUACAGCAAAAUGGAAGGAGUGGCAGUGGUCACAGUACAUGACAGUUCAGUAGUAGAACUCUUCAUAGUAACCUGUUAGCUCAAACACAAAAGCUUAUGAUUUAGACAGCAGCAUUGGCCUGACGUAUAAGAAAUUGUUUUAAUAUGAGAUGACUGAGGGAAGAGCAAUAAGCAGCCAGAUGGGUAGAGCUGGAGGAGAUAAUGCUCUUUACUCUCUACUUUAUAAAUGGAAUUUGCUUUCAGUGAUCUAUACUGGAAUGCCUCACUCUGAAAGUUAACGGAGGAAGUGAUGACAAAGCCACUGGAAUGCUUACAGCAGUAGGAGAGAGAGCGCAAUGCUCUCUGUGUGGGAAAAUGCAUGGCCAGGAGCCCAUUCAGCACAGCAGAAACUGUUUCAGUGAAGCGGAACAUAUAGUAUGAUCUAUUUCUGAGAAUCCCGGUGUGGUCCCCACAGUUUACACAGGAACCUAAUGGUACCUGUAUAUUUAUAUAAUUAUAUAUGUUUAUAGUCAUAAUUUAAGUUCAAAACAUGAAUAUAUAUAUUUUGUCAGUGCUUUUUUUUUUUUUUUUUUUACCCUGGUUUACCUAUCAUAGCUUCUGCGUAUGACAACUUCUAAAUGUGCAGUUGUUGUCCUUUCUCUCCCUGUUAGAGUAACUGUGUGAAACACUGUAAAGCACUUUUGUGAUGUUUCCUGUGAAGAAAGGUGAAGAAAAUAAAUUUAUCUUACAGCAGCAAAUGAAUUUAUACCUCCACAUUUGUCUCGCUUGGUGUGUUCACUAA